rnacentral:rRNA from 1 species
UAGGGAAUCUUCCACAAUGGACGCAAGUCUGAUGGAGCAACGCCGCGUGAGUGAAGAAGGUCUUCGGAUCGUAAAACUCUGUUGUUAGAGAAGAACACGAGUGAGAGUAACUGUUCAUUCGAUGACGGUGUCUAACCAGCAAGUCACGGCUAACUACGUGCCAG